UGAAGUCUGAGCUAGAGUGAGGAUCCAUUUGCAAGGAUCCCGGAGCGCAGGAAGCCUGGGGUGGGGGAGGGGCGCGGAGCGGAGGAGCUGGGUUAACAGAGAAUGGGACGGAGGUCACCCUCGGGGAGAGGGGAGGGCCCUGCUGCCAGCCCGGAGUGUGUGCUGUUUGUGAUCUCAGCACCCAGCCCUCAGCCUGACACAGCAGGGCCUGGAGCUGUUUAUAAGAUAAAUAAUGGAUGCCCCAGGCACCUCAUUAAGACAUCUUUGCUGAGGUGGAUUCCACUGAUGCAUUAAUUAAUAGAAUUAAUGCCUUUUCUAGUUUCCCUGAAGACUAAGUCACAUUUAGUCCCAUUCCCAGAGUGAAGAAGCCCCACACUUUUGUUGCAAGCACUAAAACUCUUUUAUUGCCAAAGUAAUAUAUGCUUGUUUCUAAAUCCCAGCUGUAUAGAUACGUAUCACGGAAAAGGUGAAAUUCUCCUCUCCCCACCCCCCACACCAGGGUGACCACCUAGCAUCCACACUUGCAGACACCUUGCACUUUACCACACACACCUUCCACAGCAACCUUCAUGCUGUACCUGUGUUCUGCAAGUCCUUUCACUCAGCAAUAUGGACGGUUUCCUGCCUGCAAAUACAGGUCUAUUUUAUUCUUCUUAAUAACAGCAUAACACUCCACAAUAAUGAUGACCCAACAAUGUGCAUAACUAUUCCUCUUUGGGUGGACACUUGCCCUUGAAUCAGAGACCAUCCUCAGUCCCCUGGCACCCAGCAUCUGUCAUCCAGUCCAUUCCGUGCUCCUGCACUUCCUGCUCUGCCCCCGCCCCUCAGGCUCCUGAGGUGAGUGCCACCUAGGGCGCUUCCUUCCCUUGACAUGGUACUCAGGUGCCCCAAGGGAGGGACGAUCAUUCUGUGCCAACCACCAGCAAGGUGGCCCCGAUACUUACCUGCCCUGGUCCAGCCCCUAAUCUCCUACCCAGUGUCUUGAAGCCCAGUGUGUGUCUCCCAGAAAACCUGACCUGGGCUGGUGCUGAGGAACAGACACGAAUGUGGGGGUCCUCUGGGAACAACACCUAGGAGCCACCAAGAGCAGCAGGACUGGCCAGGGAGAAGUGCCCAGUGACUCAGGCAGAGCCACGCGCCAGUGAGCCGGAGCCAGAACUGCGGGCUUGGCUGGAAGGAGUGUCUGCUUGGACCAAGCCCUGUGUGUGCACUCGUGUCGGGGAUGCCGUGUGUGAGCGGGGUGGGUGUCUGACUCCAUGCAUCUAGCUGCACUCCCUCCCUGCCUGGCAAGGCACCAAGCCACCCACGCCCAGGUCAGUGUGGUCCACGGACCCACAGGUGAGCCUCGGGGCUGGCUUUUAAGAGACCAGCCUGGAAGCUAGAGGUGGCAGUCACCUGUGUUUCUGUCACCUGCUUUGGGGGCCGGACUGUCCCUCCUCCUCUGGGUUGGUGGGGCAGAGGGGAGGCUGGGAGUUCCCUGUGGUCCCCAAAGUGGCGAGGCUUCCACUUGGGAGGCUCACCUUGGGGCAGGGCUAUACCUGAGUGUCCCCAUCCUUGCUUCUGGGUGAGGACCUCUCCCAGGGGGCAACUGUGAGCCCUGCUCCAGAGGGCCCAGGGAAGAGGGAGCCCAGCCCUCUCCAAAGGCAGUGGGGGUCGGGGACAGGACCCAGAGCUGUUGCCCCCUAUGAGUAAGGGCCUGGCAGCUCUUUGAAGAGGCACUGAGCAGAGCACCUGGGGAGUGGGGAAGGAGGACAGGGCAGUGGAGGGACAGUGAACCCUCAGCUGGGAAAGCCACGAGAACCUCCAGAGGCCAAGCAGCAACCUCAGGGCUGCCCAGAGGGGCUGAGGCCCAGGCACCCCACAAGUUGACCCCUGCACUCCUCCCUGUGGCCCCAGGCUCCUGUGCCCAAGGGGCCUCUGCUUCCACGGGGACCCACAGAGGGGCCGAGGGCAGACGGAAUGUCGGAGGCCCUGAGCAGGUCAUCUGAACUGUCGAGUUGACUGGACCACGAGGCUUCUGGGUGUGAGUUCUUGACUGCGGCUGCCACCGCCUGAGGAUACCGGACUCUGACUUCUUCACUCUCCUGAGGCGAGAGUCACUCUGCAGCGAUUCUCCAGGGAGCUCCCAGAGGCCUUGGGACUCAGAGGAGGCUCGCACCCUUGAUCCCUCUGGUUCUGAGGCUUCAGCGUCUUGGGCUGAGCAGCUGCUGUUCCUCCAGCUCUACAGCCCCCGGAUGAUAACCUGGGCGCUGUCCAGCCUCUGGUUACGAAGCCAACCCAGUAAAUCCCCUUGAUCACCA